GCUUUGCCUUAUUUAUAUGUUCCAUUGGCGGAUUUGUUACCUCAGAGCACUCCUACACACCAGGAAGAUGAUGCAUGCACGCAUGCCUUAGCUCUUGCCUUAGAAAAAGCCGUGAAGCUGAAAGGUGGUUCUGGUUCAAAACAGCAGCAUGUCCAUGGUUGCAGCCUUGUACGAGCAAAGAAAUUUUAUGUUUAUCAUUCAUCCGAAGAGCUAUUUGUGAAGAUUCACCUGUAUCCAAAGACUAUAUUAUAUCAUUAUCAUUAUUAUUUUUUGAAACAAAGAACAUUUUGUAUUCACAAGUUAGACUAGAUAUU